AUCAGCACCGUCAUCAUUAUUACGACAACCACCAUUACCACAGGUAACGGGGCGGGCUGACGCGCACAGGAAACACAGGAAAAAGCCCGCACCUCGACAGUGCGGGCUUUUUUUU
rnacentral:sRNA from 1 species